UAUCAGAAGUGCGAAUGCUGACAUGAGUAACGAUAAUGGGAGUGAAAAACUCCCACGCCGGAAGACCAAGGGUUCCUAUCCCAUGUUAAUCAGGGUAGGGUAAGUCGACCCCUAAGGCGAGGCCGAAAGGCGUAGUCGAUGGGAAACAGAUUAAUAUUUCUGUACUCGAUAUAAUUGCGAUGGGGGGACGGAGCAGGCUAAACAAGCAUGGCGUUGGUAGUCCAUGUGAAAGUGAGUAGGUUGGCGACUUAGGUAAAUCCGGGUUGCUAUUAAGACUGAGACACGAGACGAGUCACUACGGUGAUGAAGUUGUUGAUGCCAUACUUCCAGGAAAAGCCUCUAAGCUUCAGAUUAUAUGGAAUCGUACCCCAAACCGACACAGGUGGUCAGGUAGAGAAUACUAAGGCGCUUGAGAGAACUCGGGUGAAGGAACUAGGCAAAAUCGUACCGUAACUUCGGGAGAAGGUACGCUCCUAUCUGUGAUGAGACUUGCUCUCUAAGCGGACGGGAGCCGCAGUGACCAGGUGGCUGGGACUGUUUAUUAAAAACACAGCACUGUGCAAAAUCGCAAGAUGACGUAUACGGUGUGACACCUGCCCGGUGCCGGAAGGUUAAUUGAUGGGGUUAUCCUUAGGGAGAAGCUCUUGAUCGAAGCCCCGGUAAACGGCGGCCGUAACUAUAACGGUCCUAAGGUAGCGAAAUUCCUUGUCGGGUAAGUUCCGACCUGCACGAAUGGUGUAACCAUGGCCACGCUGUCUCCACCCGAGACUCAGUGAAAUUGAAAUCGCAGUGAAGAUGCUGUGUACCCGCGGCUAGACGGAAAGACCCCGUGAACCUUUACUACAGCUUGGCACUGAACAUUGAACCUACAUGUGUAGGAUAGGUGGGAGACUUUGAAGCAGCGACGCUAGUUGUUGUGGAGUCAACCUUGAAAUACCACCCUUGUAGUUUUGAUGUUCUAACGUUGGCCCCUGAAUCGGGGUUACGGACAGUGCCUGGUGGGUAGUUUGACUGGGGCGGUCUCCUCCUAAAGAGUAACGGAGGAGCACGAAGGUUGGCUAAGUACGGUCGGACAUCGUACGGUUAGUGUAAUGGUAGAAGCCAGCUUAACUGCGAGACAGACACGUCGAGCAGGUACGAAAGUAGGUCAUAGUGAUCCGGUGGUUCUGAAUGGAAGGGCCAUCGCUCAACGGAUAAAAGGUACUCCGGGGAUAACAGGCUGAUACCGCCCAAGAGUUCAUAUCGACGGCGGUGUUUGGCACCUCGAUGUCGGCUCAUCACAUCCUGGGGCUGAAGUCGGUCCCAAGGGUAUGGCUGUUCGCCAUUUAAAGUGGUACGCGAGCUGGGUUUAGAACGUCGUGAGACAGUUCGGUCCCUAUCUGCCGUGGGCGUUUGAGAAUUGAGAGGGGUUGCUCCUAGUACGAGAGGACCGGAGUGAACGAACCGCUGGUGUUCGGGUUGUCAUGCCAAUGGCAUUGCCCGGUAGCUACGUUCGGAACUGAUAAGCGCUGAAAGCAUCUAAGCGCGAAGCAGGCCUCGAGAUGAGUUCUCACUAGACUUUUAAAGUCUCUGAAGGGCCGUUGAAGACUACAACGUUGAUAGGCAAGAUGUGGAAGUGGUGUGAGCCAUUAAGCUAACUUGUACUAAUUACCCGUGAGGCUUAACCAU
rnacentral:rRNA from 1 species